rnacentral:rRNA from 1 species
UGCAAGUCGAACGGAGAUUGCAGCAAUGUAAUCUUAGUGGCGGACGGGUGAGUAACGCGUGGGCAACCUACCUUUCACAGGGGGAUAACACAGGGAAACUUGUGCUAAUACCGCAUGAAACUAUUGGGAGACAUCUUCUGAUAGUCAAAGGAGCAAUCCGGUGAAAGAUGGGCCCGCGUCCGAUUAGCUAGUUGGUGGGGUAACGGCCUACCAAGGCGACGAUCGGUAGCCGAACUGAGAGGUUGAUCGGCCACAUUGGGACUGAGACACGGCCCAGACUCCUACGGGAGGCAGCAGUGGGGAAUAUUGCGCAAUGGGGGAAACCCUGACGCAGCAACGCCGCGUGAAGGAUGAAGGUUUUCGGAUUGUAAACUUCUUUGAUGAGGGACGAAUAAUGACGGUACCUCAAAAACAAGCCACGGCUAACUACGUGCCAGCAGCCGCGGUAAUACGUAGGUGGCGAGCGUUGUCCGGAAUUACUGGGUGUAAAGGGCGUGUAGGCGGGAAUGUAAGUCAGAUGUGAAAUACCGUGGCUCAACUGCGGGGCUGCAUCUGAAACUAUGUUUCUUGAGUGUCGGAGAGGAAAGUGGAAUUCCUAGUGUAGCGGUGAAAUGCGUAGAUAUUAGGAGGAACACUAGUGGCGAAGGCGACUUUCUGGACGAUAACUGACGCUGAGGCGCGAAAGCGUGGGGAGCAAACAGGAUUAGA